rnacentral:lncRNA from 1 species
GAAAUCGUGUUCUUUGAAAUUCUAACAUUGGUGUGGGUGAGCAUCUUAAUUCUUGACUCCUUUGCCUUUCUCUUAUGUUUAUUUUAAAUUAAAAUUACAAUUUACAACUAAUCCGAGUAUGACAAUUUGGCUUUGACGUGCUUAAAACUAGUUUUAAAAUCAUAACGCGUUGAUUUUUUUUUUUUAGAAUUUCGAUGUCUUGUUUUUGAAACAUUCUAAUUACAUUGUUUUAUAAAGUGUU